UUCUCAUUUACGCUAAACAAUGUCUCUCUCCUCUCUAAACCCUAAUUCGAACUCUCUCUCUCUUCUCUUCUCUGGCGAACACGGAGACUAAAGAAGAUCCAAUAAUUUUGAUCAAGAAUCAACGGAUUUGAAGACAAAUCAUCUACGGAAUAUCAAAUCCUCGAGAUCAAAUCGGCGAUUUAGUGAAGAGGGAACAAGCUGAUAAGAUGGAUAAGGAUGUUCCAGAUGAUGCCUCAAACGAUGUCUUGAAUGAGGAUCAAGAGAUGGACGAGCAAGUUGUAGCUCAACCUCAACAUGAUGACAGCUAUUUCACUAGAAUCGUCUCAAAGCAUCAAAAUAUUCAUCAAAAUGAUUACCGUUGCUUGAAGACUAACGAUCAAGUAAUAAAUAACCAACUAAUGUAGCUGGGGAAAUCGAUUAAUAGGCGAUGUCGGAUCAGUCAUCUAGGGUUCCGACCGAGGAGUUCAACCAGUGAGAGAUAGAGAAUGAGUCGGCGAGAAAGGCAUACGCCUUCGAGGUUCUGCCAACCAUCUUGGCGCGUGCCUUACAUUACCCGAUAGAGCAUGAUAUGGCAAGUAUAGCGACGAUGUGUGUUUGGACGUUUGGUGAUGGCUCAGUCGAAGCGUUAGACGAUGACGGUUGUUUCAUUUUGUUUUGGGAAACAUGACGCUUGAGGCGAUCACCACUGUCAGAUCUGAGAGUAAGCAUACUUUAAGAAAUUGUAAUACUUUUCAAUAGAACGUAAGGUUAUUGUAUACCCUUUGGUUAAUCUCUAUAUCGAUUACUAUGAUCUCAAUAGUUUUUAUCUUGAAAAAAUUGCAGUGUAGUUCAGUUUUAGGUAAAAGUUUGUAAUUGGGUAAAUUGCAGAAAUAUAAAUACUCAGUUGCAAACUAGAUUUGGGUAAAUUGCACUUAUGAUGCUUUUGACAACAUAGUGUAGUCUAUUAAAUUCGUGAUCAACUGUAAUCUGGAUGUAAUUUAGGUAUAAUAUCAAGUGUCGUAGUUAAUUCUCAGCACAUGGACAUGUUUGGUACAUGGGUUAAAAUUUGAUUAUGGGUCAACUAAAGCCUCAACUAUAAUGAAGUUUGGCUUGCAUACAACCUGUUGAUUAUUGAAGACUUGAAGACAUGAAGGAAAAUUUGGGUUCAUUUCUUUGGGUGAUGAAUGUUGUCCCUGAAGAUGGAUCUAACACAUUGAAGCUUAUUUACGAUAGAGGCCAUCGAUUCAAUUCAUAACUGGUGUGAAGCAUACUCAACCUACCCGCGUGCAUACAAUCUUCUCCUUGCUAGCAACGUGUUUGUCACAC